ensembl:lncRNA
CACCUGGAACUUUCCAGAGUGAAUUCAGAGUAAUAAUAAUAACUGCUUCUUACUGUGAUAAAAAAUGGGAUUUAGGGCUUGGAAAGGAUUCUUGGGUGUUAGAAUCCAACAUGCUUAUACUACUAGUUACUAUACACAUCAUCUAUUUACUUUCCCACUAUUUCAGUAGUAUAAUGUAAAAAUGUUUUGAUCUUAUGGUAAACAUGCUGGAGUGGAAGUAUAUUUAGUAUGGAAGCAGUAACCAGAGGACCUUCAUGAAAUUAUCCACUACACAGCUGUCAUAUACGCAGGGACUAAAAGACAUGGCAAGCCUAGCAGAUUUUCCUUUAUGGAGACAAGGCAUUACAGAGUGGGAAAAGAAGUCCGAUUUGUAGAUGCGGGAAUUGUGUACAGCUGAACUGGCAUUUCUUUGUGUAGAGAACAAGAGUUACACUGCUGACAUCAAACCUGCAGUCAUCACAGCUGGGAGGGACAAUGACAAACUUCAGGUGCCUGCCUCUUCUUCCACUCUUCUCAUCUUUCAGAAGAGGUUCUUACUGGCAGACUAUUUACAUUUUAUCUCUAUGCUCAGCCAAGAGCAGAAGCCUAAUUGCAGACACAUCAUUCUAAAAGAAGUUGUUCUCAUGCUAUCUCUGAGCUGGCAGAAGGAAAUGAACACUGGAAAACUCAUAAGAAAGUCUGAUCAUGUAACCGUUCCAGCCUUAUUUCCAGACCAAAGAGGUUUGGACAAGUUUUGAUUAAGCAGACUAAUUUUUGGAUGCUUAUCUGACCUGAACAAUCUGAAUUUUCUGUGGUUCAGUGCUGGUUGAUACUCAUUUGAGGAGCUGUUGGCACUUCUAUGCGUACAGUUAAAAAAUAAAAAUAAAAUAAAAUAAAUCUUUCAUC